GUCGCACCGAUGACUAACGUUGCCUGCCGGCCUGGUGGUUUGAAAACGAAUGCCGGGCAUUGAUGCAAGGAUAUCCUCCCCUACCCCUGGGAUUCUGGUCUAAGCAAAGGAGGCCGAAUGGAGAACUAAGACAAUUAUCUAAGUAAUCUAAAAAGCUCAAAGACAUCCCCAAGCGGACCUUGCUCCAGUGGUCUGUGAUGGCAGCCUAGUGGACAGUUUUCUAGUGGCCCUCUGGGGUUAAUUGCCUUAAUCUUCCACUCUGUCUGCCCCAGCAAAGGGAAAGAUGCUAAAGCAGCUGUGGACUUGCAGCCUCCCUCCUGUGUGUGCAGAGCCCCCAGGAAUCACUGCCCCAGUGCAGCAGGAGAAGCGCCUUCCCUCAUGCCCUAAGCCUGCCUUUUCUGUUGUCCCCCAGCUCCUGGGCCAGGUGGAGCCCCCCCUGAAGCUGGUUUCUACCUGCCCUCGCCUCCCCACUGCAGCCCACAGUUCGGCUUUCAGGGC
rnacentral:lncRNA from 1 species